rnacentral:rRNA from 1 species
UACGUAGGGGUCGAGCGUUGUCCGGAAUUACUGGGCGUAAAGCGCGUGUAGGCGGCCCUGCAAGUCGGGUGUGAAAUCCCAUGGCUCAACCAUGGAAGUGCACUCGAAACUGCAGGGCUAGAGUCCUGGAGAGGAAGGUGGAAUGCUUGGUGUAGAGGUGAAAUUCGUAGAUAUCAAGCGGAACACCGGUGGCGAAGGCGGCCUUCUGGACAGUGACUGAACGCUGAGA